UACGACCAUGUCACCUGGAAAAACCGAUUCUCGUACGAUCUCCGAAGUUAAGCAACGUCGAGACUGGUCAGUUCCUACAUGGGUGACGUCUUGGCAAUACUGUGCUGUA